CCUACGGGAGGCAGCAGUGGGGAAUAUUGCACAAUGGGGGAAACCCUGAUGCAGCGACGCCGCGUGAGUGAUGAAGUACUUCGUUAUGUAAAGCUCUAUCAGCAGGGAAGAAAAUGACUGUACCUGAGUAAGAAGCUCCGGCUAAAUACGUGCCAGCAGCCGCGGUAAUACGUAGGGGGCAAGCGGUAUCCGGAUUUACUGGGUGGAAAGGGAGCGUAGACGGGUGUGCAAGUCUGGAGUGAAAGGCGGGGGCUCAACCCUCAGACUGCUCUGGAAACUGGACGGCUGGAGUGCAGUAGAGGUAAGUGGAAUUCCUAGUGUAGCGGUGAAAUGCGUAGAUAUUAGGAAGAACACCAGUGGCGAAGGCGGCUUACUGGACUGUAACUGACGUUGAGGCUCGAAAGCGUGGGGAGCAAACAGGAUUAGAUACCCCAGUAGUC
rnacentral:rRNA from 1 species